UGUCUAUCGCAAUUAUCAAGUUAUUUCUAUCCUAGAUUCUGUUUAUGUGGUGUAUUACAUAUAUUAAUUAGUGUAUUUUGAAUCAACCUUGCAUAUCUGGGAUGAAGCCUGCUUGGUCAUGACAUAUGUUCCUUUUUUAAAAAAUUAAUUAAGUUUAUUGGUACAUUUUAGGUAUAUAUAAUAAUCACAUUCAUCAUAGGAAAUUUGUGUCUGUACAUGAUAUAUGUUGGUUCUUAUUUUUUUACCAUUCCCCUUCAUUCCUUGCAACCCUCCACUCUUCCCUAUUUACAAAAGCUUUGUUUCUAUUUUUUCCUUUUGCUUACUUCCUUUCCCCACUCCCCUCCACAGUUCCCCUACCCAUUUGAACAUUUUCUUCCUAUUUCUCAAUAUCUAUUAUACAUUUUGGUUCUCAUUUACACUUUCAGUUUCACACACCAGAGAAUCAAUGCAGUAUUUAAACAUGUGUGGGCCCUAUUUAUUUUACUUAAGAGUAUGGUCUCAAGGUACAUCCAUAUAGCUAUAAACAUCUCAAGUUUGUCUUUCUUUAUGGCUGAGUAGUAUUCCAUUGUAUAAAAACCCACACUUUCUAUAUCCAUUCGUUGGUUGAUGAGCAUUUGGGUUGUUUCCAAGAUGUAGCUAUUACAAGCCAUGUUGCUAUAAAUAUGGGUGUGUAUAUAUUGCUGUGGUAUGAUGAUUUUAAUUUUGGGGGGAAGAUAUCCAGAGGGGGAAAAGUUAGGUCAAAUGGAAUUCUAAUUUUAGUUUUUUGAAGUAUCUCCACAGUGAUUUCCACAGUGGUUGCACCAGUCUACACUCCCACCAACAGUGGAGAAGGGUUCCUUUUUCACCCACAACCCCACCAGCAUUUGUUAUUGUUUGAUUUCUUGAUAGCAGCCAUUAUUUCUGGAGUGAGAUGAAAUCUCAGCAUUGCUUUAAUUUACAUCUCAUGAAUGACCAAUAAAAUUGAACAUUUUUUCAUACAUUUAUUUGCUGAUUCUACUUCUUUAUCUGGGAAGUGUCUAUUCAUUUCAGAUGCUCAUUUUUGGAUUGGGUCUUUAAUUUGGAGGGUCUGAUUUUUUUGAGUUCUUCAUAUAUUCUAUAUUGUAGUCCUUUGUCUGAGGAACAGUUGGUAAAAAUUCUUUUUCCUACAUUCCAAGUUGUCUCUUCACUCUGUUAGUGGUUUCUCUUACUGUGCAAAAGCUUUUUAAUAUGAGAUCCCAGUUGUUGAUUCUUUGUGAUAGUUCCUCUGUGACUGAGGUUUUGUUCAUAAAAUAUUUGCCUAUAUGAAUGUUUUCAAGAGUUAUACCUAAUCUAUCUUCCAACAGAUUUAGCAUUUCUGUUUUAAUAUUGAGAUCUUUGAUUCAUUUUUCUUUUGGUUUAUUGCAUGGUGAAAGAUAUGGGUCCAGCUUUAUUCUUCAGCAAGUUAAAAUUCAGUUUUUCUAGCACCAUUUAUUAAAGAUGUUAUCUUUCCUCUUGUAAAGGUGUUUGGUUCCUUUGCCUGGAAUAUGUCUGAAGAUAUGUCUGGAGAUUUUUCUGUAUCUUCUAAUAUGCUCAUUGUUCCUCAGGUCUUUUUUUUUUUUCCUGUACCAUGCUGGUUUUAUCACAGUAGCUUUACAGUAUAAUUCAAGUCAGGGAUUGUGAUGCCCCUACCUUGCUUUUGUUGCCUGGAAUUGCCUUUGUUAUUCUAGGUCUCUUGUAGUUCCAAAUGAGUUUUAGGAUUGUUUUCUUGAAUCCAGUGAGAUAUGCUGUUGGGACUUUGUUUGGGAUUUUGAUUGGGACUACAUUAAAUCUAUAUAACAGUUUUGGAAUUAUGGCCUGUGGAGGAUGUGAGAAGUUCUCGGGCCCUUGGGAAGACAGAUUGUCCUGAUGUCUGUGGCAAGCCCAGAUAGCAAAAUUAAAAAUAACUUCAGAAGGCUGUUUGUUACUCCCACAGUGUUCAUUCUGCUGUGGUCCCUUGAGACUGUCAAAUAUUUGCUUGGUAUAAGAAUAGAUAAGAGUAGCUAACACUUUAAAAGCUUUAAGUAACCAAGAUGAUUUAGAUAAGAUGCACUAAGAUUAAAGGAACACAAAUGGUUCUUUAGAUGCUUUAUGUACUCACAGAUAUAACUGGUGGUUAGUUGACUAGCAUUGUAAACUGUUAAUGAUUGAUUCAUCCAGCUGAAAAAUGUAUAAAAAAAGGAAUACUAAAAAUAAACCUGGCCUUAACUCCUCAUGGAGCUCUGGUCUCCCGUGCCCUUUAUUUAAUAGGUUUUGUCAGAUACUGUCUUCAGGUUCCGGUCUCCCACCAAGGAGACCCCAACAAUGGCCAUUCUCACUAUAUUGGUUUUUCCUACUGCAAAGCAAGGGAUAUUUUUCAUAUUCUGACAAGCUCUUUGAUCUCUUUUUUCAGAGUAUUGUAAUUUUCAAUGUAGAGGUCAUUUACUUCCUUCAUUAGACUGAUUCCUAGUAUUUCAUUUUUGGAUGUUAUUAUAAAAUGUAUUGUUUCCCAAUUCCUCUCUCAGUGAGUUUGUUAUUUGUGUACAGAAAGGCUAUUGAUUUUUGAGUAUUGAUCUUGCAUCUAGCUAUGCUACUGAAUUGGGUUAUUUAGCCUAGAAGUGUUUUGGUGGAGUUUUUUUGGUCUUCUAUAUAGAGUAUCAUGUCAUCUGCAAAUAGUGACAGUUUAACUUCUUCCUUUCCAAUCCUUAUUUCUUUUAUUUCUUUCUCUUGUCUAAUUGCCAUGGUUAAUGUUACCAGAACUAUAUUGAACAGGAGUGGUGAUAGUGGACAUCUUUAUCUUAUCCUGGAGCAUGUCCAAACCCUAACAACUCACCAAGCACUGUAGUCCUCUGUGACCACUGCUCCGCUCCACUGGUGGGUUUCUCCAUGGAGAUCUCUGGGGCUGCCAGUAGUCAUAGUUGAUCUGCAGGUUCAAGCAAGCCUUCUCCUACAGUGAGUGCAGGCUUAGGUAGGAGGUACUGCCUGUUGCCUCCUUCUUCUUUUUUUGGGACUCUCUCUUUGCUCUUCUUGUGGGCUUCAAUUCUUACUUCAGAUCCUUCUUAGGUCCCAGGGACCCACUCCCCUCCUUCUUUGCUUCCUCAUGUUGCUUUAUUCCAAUUCCUAGACACCAAACCUCAGAGAGGCCCUCUCUAUGCUGCUCACCACUUCACCAUCUUCCCAGCAGGCUCUAGGUAUUAUUUUGAUGAUUUCCUGUAUUCUAUUUGCCAGAAUCUUGUUGAAGAUUUUUGUAUCUGUAUUCAUUAAAGGUUUGGUUUAUAGUUCUCUUUUUUGGUUGGAUCCCUGCCUGGUUUUUCAAUCAGGAAAAUACUAGCUUCCAGGAAUUACUUUGGGAGUACUCAUUCCCUUUCAAUUUCAAUAAAGAGCUUGAGGAGUAUUAGUGUUAGAUCUUCCCUGAAAUUUUUGUAGAAUUCAACAAUGAGUCCAUCUGGAGCUGGGCUUUUCUUAGUUGUUAGAUUUUUUUAAAUUAAUGUUUCAAUUUCUUUACCCAUUAUUGGAUUAUUCAGGAUUUUUAAAUUCUCUUGUUUCAGCUCUGGUAAUUCAUAUGUUUCUAAGUCUACCAAUUUCUCUACCUUAUUGGUGUACAGGUUUGUGAAAUAGUUGUUAAUAAUCUGUUUGGUUUCAGCAGUACCAUAGUGAUUUCACCUUUUUCCCCCUCUAAUUGCAUUGCUUUGGGUCUUCUCUCUUUUUUUGUGGUUAGAUCUAAGGGUGUGUCUAUUUUUUCUUUUCAGAAACUAACUCUUCAAUACUUUAAUAUUUUGUAUUUUUGUCUCAAUUUUAUUGAUUUCUGCUCUAAUCUUUAUAAUUUCCUUCCUUGUACUGACUUUGGACUAUAACUGUCCUUGUUUUUCUAGGACCCUGAGGUGUAACCUUAGGCUAUUUAUUUGGAUUCACUCAGUUUUUAUGAUGUAGGCCUUCAGAGUUAUAAGCCUCUCUCUUAGGACUUCUUUCAUCAUGUCCCAUAAAUUCUUAUAUGUUUAUUGGCAUUAUUGUUGGUUCUAGAAACUGUCUUGUUUCUUCCUUAAUUUAUUCUGUAACCCAUUGUUUAAGAGUGUAUUGAUCAGUUUCCGUGCAUGUGCAUAAUUUCUGUCUUUUCUGUUGUUGUUAAUUUCCAGUUUCUUUGUGCUAUGACGUGAUAAUGUGCAUGGUAUAAUUUCAGUUCUUCUACAUUUGCUUAUUUGAUUUAUGGAUUAGUAUGUGAUCUUUUCAGGAUAAAGUUCCAUGUGCUGAUGAGAAGAAUGUAUAUGUUGCUAUUGGUUGGAACACCAGAUAUCCAUUUUAAAUCCAUUUUAAAAGGAUCUGUUCAACUCUAAUAUUUAUUUGCUAUUUUUUGUCUAUUUGCGAAAGUGGGGUAUGGUGGUCUAUCAUCAUUAUAUUAUGGCUGUGUUUAUCUGAUUUUUAAAUGCCCAUUAGUAUUAGUUUUAUAAAGAUGUGUGCACCAUUGUUCAGUGUGUGUAUGUUAAUAGUUUUUAUCUCUUCUGAUAGGAUUGUUUUCUAAACCAAAGUUGUUACUAUUUUUCUUUUACCUCUUUUGAUCAGCUUUGGCUUGAAGUUCACUUGUCUGAAUAUAGGAUAGCUGCACUUGCUUUUUUUCCAGGUUCCUUUUGCAUGGAAUAUUAUUUUUCAUUCUUUGAUUUUUAGUCUAUGCCUUUCUUUGUGAGUUAAAUAUCUUUCAGGUACACAGCACACUGUUGAAUUUUGUUUCUUGAUCUAUUCUACCAAUAUGUGUUCUUUACUGGGGAAAUGAGCUAAUUCACAUUGAAAGUUAUUACUGAUAAGUAUUGACUUAUUCCUGUCAUUGUCUUAUUUUCCUUUUGCUGAUUGUCCAUCUUUCUCUUCCACUUAACUGCUCAUCCUACCCAGUAUACUCAUUGUAUUAGACCUUUUAUCAUUGUUAGUUUCAUUGUCUCUUUCUAGGAUAUCCUUGAGAGCUUUUUAGAGUGUUGGUUUGGUAGUCCUGAAUUUUCCUAGUUACUCUUUAUCAUGAAAAUAUCUUACUUCUCCAUAAAAUUGAAAGAGUUUUGCAACUUAUAUCAGCCUGGGUCAGGGAUUGUUUUAGGGGAAAAGAAAGUAGUUGAGAAGAGGAAAGGAAUUAUGAAGGACAAAGUGAGUAAUGUGUGGUGGAGAAGUUUAAACUAUAUUAUAUCCAUUUAUGAAUAUGGCAAGACAAACCCCACCUUUCUGUUUAACUCAUAUCUAUUAAUGAAAAGGAUACUUAGAUGUGCACUAUAUUAACACUAUUGAGAUAUUUUUUGUACUUGCUUACUUCAAGUGACAGAAAUAUAAUUUUAGAAAUACUUUUUUGUUAUUAUGGAGUCUUUCAAAUACAAGGAUGAAAUGUGUUUCAUUGAAUGGUUUGUUAUCUUGAUUUAUUAAUUUUAAAUAUGAUAUUGUGAGCAGAUUCUCAUUUUAAUUCUAUAGCACAGUUUUGGGUGUGUCUGUGGGGUGUUUUAGGGAGUUUUGAAGUGUUUGCCAUGUAUUGAGGGAUACACCAAACCUGUGUGUGGUGGCCCCACCUAAGAGGUGUGUAGCCUGAGUGGAAUAAAGCAAGAGAAGGAGAAAGUGUGCGUGUUUUGAAGAGUUUCAUUCUGCUUGAGUGAGUGUAUCUUUUGCUUUUGUUGCUCAUGGACAUCAAGCUAUUUUCCUUAUCAUUUCAAAGCAGACUUACAGCAGCAAUUCUCUGGGGACAUUUCAGGCCUUCAGUCUUGGAUUGGUGAUGUAUCUUUGAUUUUUGUUCUGCAGUUUCCAACUUCUUGUACUGAGCAGUUACUGAGUCUCUUGGUUCUCCAAUAUUCAGAUGGCCAUCAUGUAUGCUCUCAUCUCUAAAACCUUAAACCUUCCUAAUGAAUAUCUUAUUUUUUUUCUUCUAUGGAUUCUGGUCCUUUAGAGAAACCUAACCAAUACAUUUAGGAAUAGGGUAUAAUCUAUGGACCAGAUAUAAAGUACUUAUCAGAAUUUGCCAGCAUUUUGAUCUUGGAGUUCCCAAGCUCCUGAACUGUGAGAUAUAAAUUUCUAUCAUUUACAGAUUAGCUACUCUAAGAUAUUUUAUUAUAGCAGUAAGAGUAAACUAACACAGAAAUUGGUACCAAGAAGUAGACUGUUGGAACAAACACCUAAAAAUGUGAAAAUCACUUAUAACUGGGUACUGCUUAAAAUAAGAGUUUUGAGAAACACUGAUGUGAAUGGAGAAUUAAGUGUAAUUCUAAUGAUGGCUCAGAGAAGAGGAAAAAUUGGAGACAGCUUUAAUCUUUUCUGAAAUUACAUAAAUGUUCAUGAACAGAAUGUUGAUAGAACCAUAGAUCAAUGGAUAGUGAUGAACAGUCUCAUAGCAUCUCAGGUGGAAAUCAGGGACAUGUUAUUUGAAACUAUAAGAAAGGAGAUAUUUCUCAUGAAGUGCCUAAGAAUUUGCCAAAAUUAUGUUCAUAUUUUAUUGUUUUAAGGAAGAUAGAACUUAUGACAGAUGAAAUAGUAUAUUUUGUGGAAGAAAUGUCUAGAAAUGUGCCAACAACAAAGCAUGAUUUCUCUUGAAUACCUAUCAUAAAUUGUAAGAUGAGAGGAAUGAAUUAAGGUAGAAAUUUAUGAUUUACAAAGCAGAAUUUAAAUAUCUAGAACAUUCUAAGCCCAGGGAGCUAGUCAUUUUGUGCUUACCAUUCUGUUGCCAGUGUGGCUGGGUCAAAGAUCUGAGUCUAGGCACCAGCUAUCUGGAUUACUUCGUAGUCUAACAUCAGGAGUAUAAGAAAAGCACAUAGAGAUGGAAAAUUAAUUUAUUAAAAAUUUGACCCAAUUAUGAAGGCAGCAAAUUCAACCCUUUUGAGCACAUAGAAGUCUUAAUUUAAAGAGGUAGAAAAAAGACAGAAAAUAUCAUAUGUAAAUUUAGCCAAUCUUUGACCCAUGGAAUUGUGAAUUCUCCUUGGAGCCAGGACUGGGUUUGGGGUGAGGUGGCAGUUUCUGCUCACAGUGAAGAAACCUAAAAUAGCUUAUCUCUAACAAAAAGCCAAUUUUUAAAGAUCACUUUUUACUUCUCAGCUGAACUUGAAAUCCUGUAUUUGUAGAGGGCAAAUAUGUGCCAGCCAAUUGAAGUCGAACAUUUAUUUCUAAAGAAAAUUAAAUAAAUAAAAUAUGUGACUGAAUGUAAAGCUAUCUGUAAAAGGUAUGUUUUUUAAAGAACAUAAAAUGUAGAAAGAGGAAAAUGGAAAGGAGUUGAUUUAUUGAAAUUUAAAAUUUAAAAGAAAACUAGAGCAAGGAGUAAUUGAUUAAGCUGGUAACAUUAGUGCUGUUAUGCAAUACAAAACACUUUAUAAAUUGGCUUUGAGGGCAACUGAAUAGCUUGUUAUUCUCCUUUCCUGUUGCAAAAGAAGACUCCAGAGGAGAGUCAGCUCUUCUCUCUGUACAGGCUCAUUCUUGUCAGCAUAUAUUCAUGCCUGGAUCUGUUUCACCCCUCUCUCAAUGUAUUUAGAGAGGAGCAGCCCUCAACAAAUCAUCUAUUGCAUACUCCCCACUUCUCUACUCAUGUUUCCUGGAAAUCAAAAUAGAAUACUUGCUCUUAAGGUAAGAUCAAGGUCAGCUUCUGAAAGAACCCAAAAUAGAUACAAUGCAAGCUCUUCCCUGACCCUUCAGCCAUCUCUCUUUCCUGUUCUCAUUCUUAAACAAUGAGUGGUCAUGGACAUUCUCAUUCUUGAGCCCUUCUCUUAUCAGAUUCUGCCUUCAUCAUGCUGCCCUUUCUUUCUAAAAAUUUACAGGGAUUAACAUGUAGUAUCCAAUGUAAGUUUCAGAACUGAACAUUCUUGAAUCACAAUUGCUGAUAAAGACUCCCCAGCCUCCUUCAUUCCACUAAUAUUUACUGUAAGAUUUGUUCUUACAUAAUUAUGGGAAUUGGUUUAGUGAUUUCUAAAUGAUUGUUAUCUUUGAAUUUGAAUUAAGAGUCUUGGAGUUUGAAAUCAACGUCAUUUUUUCAAUAUCAUUUAGUUAAAAAUAUUUGGUAUUUCCUUUGUGAUUCUUUGACCCACAGAUUUUUUUUUUAUGUCAGUCAUUGUAAGUGCUUUAUAGCCACUGUACCUAGUACAUAGAUUGUUAGGUCGGUUUCUAUAUUUAGCUUGCUACAUUCUAAAUUCUGACAAUCUGUGAGGUGUAGUGGCACAAGCCUGUAAUGCUAGCAUUCAAGAAGCUGAGGCAGGAAGAUUACUGCAAGUUUGAGGUCAGCCUGGGUUGUACAGUGAUGUCAAGGCAAACCUGAACUGCAUAGCAAGACCCUGUCUCAACAAACCAAUAACAAAAAUUCCUACAAUCUCCUAUACACUGAGCAGAAAUUGGAACUGUGGUUUCUUUAGAAAGAAUGUACAGUCUACAGUUUUAGGGUAUACUGUUUUAGAAAUGAAGGUUAAGUAAAGUUUGUUAAAAUUCUCUAUAUGUUACUGAUUACUUAAAAACUAUACUUGAAAUACUGAGAAAGGGAUGUUAAAAUCCACAACUAUGAAUGUGAACUAUUUUUGUAUUUUUAAUUUUGGUAUAUGUAUUUUGAAACUCUUCUUUCUAUAUCUAGGAUUACUAUUUUUAUAAACUUUCUUUAUCAUUAUUAAAUGUCUCUGCUUAUCUACACCAAUGCUCUUUAUCCUGACAGCAAGUUCAUACAUAGUAAUAUGUAGGUAAUUAUGUAAAGAUACAUGAUAUAAGUUGAUAUAUAUGUAACAAAUGAGCUCUUUUUUAUUUAUGUUUUUAUUAGUACAUGUUUGUCAUACAUAAUGUUUAUAUUCCUUGUGGGGAAUUGGCAUAUAGACAUAAUACGUGGACAUAAUACAUCUUAAUUUCUGUUUUUAAUCCCUUUUCUCUUCCUUCCCCCUCCUAUGCUCAGUGUUUGUGUUGCAUAUUUUUCUCACAUUUUACUUUUUUUCCCCACUGGUGCUGGGCAUUGAACUCAGAGCUUUCUCAGUGAGCUAUCCCCAGAGCUAUUUAUUUAUUUAUUUGGGCUAUUAUUUUUAUUUAUUUUUUAUUAGGAUAUGUUUGCAUACAUAAUGAUCUCAUUCAUCAUGGAGAAUUUGUUCCUGUACAUAAUAUAUCUUAAUUACUUUUUCCCAUUCCCUUCCCCUCCCUUUAACUCGUCUUCCCUUCCUGUGUUAGUUACUUUUCUCUCAUUACUAAGAUAAAAAAAUCUGGUACCAGAAGUUAAAGGGAAAGGGUUUAUUUAGCUCACAGUUUGUAUAGGUUUCAGUCCACAAUCAGCUGGCUCCAAAAAAGGAAUGCCAAACAGGCUAUGCAGAAGAGAAACAAUAUGGCACACACAAGGUAGCAAAGGUAAUAAAGGCAUUAAACAGCAUCUUUCUGCCCCUUUUAUCUUAUUCAGAUUACCAGUAUUAGGGUGGUGCUAAAUCAAUCACUCACAUGUAGUGGCUUAAUAAUCACACACCCUUGACCCCAGCAUCACACAUUCCAGGUUCAACUACCUCUGAAAAAGAAAGUCCCAUCUCAUCUCAUGAGACAUUGAGGGGACAUAACACUUCCCCAUUUACAAAAGCUUUAUUUCAAUUUUUUCCUUCCAUCUUCCUUUUUUAAAAAAUCCCCUUUUCCUCUCUUGUUACUCUUCCUAUUUGAAUAAGUUCUUCCUAGUCCCUAAUAUCUAUCCUCCAUUUUGCUCCUUGUUUACCUUUUUUACUUUUUGAGACGGUCUUGCUAAGUAGCUAAGUUUUCAGUCUGGGCUUAAAUUUGUGAUCUUCCUGCCUCAGCUGCCCAGAGUAUCUGCAUUACAGAAUGCUUCACCCUGCCUUCACCCUGUGCUUCUCUUUUACUUUAAUGUAUCUUUACCUAAAUAAUGUGCUUCUGAAAAACUGAAAAUUCUUUUAAACUAAUAUGAAAAUAUAUAACUUCUAAUUGGAAGUUUAGCCCUUUAGCCUUUAAACUUGUCAUUUUAUUUCAUUUCUAUUCAUCCUAUUUAAUAUGUGCCCCUUUAUUCCUUAUUUUAUGUUAUGGUAGAUUCCCCAAAUAGCACAUGGCAACACAAACAUAUACCUAGAUACACACAAAACUCAUCUUCAUCAUUUUUAUUGCCUUUUUCUUUUUAAAAAGUUCAUUAAGUUUAUUGGUACAUUUUAGGUAUACAAUAUGACGAUAUUCAUCACUGGGAAUUUGUACCUUUACAUGAUAUAACUUGGUUUUUAUUUGUUCCCCAUGCCCCUGACCUCCCUUAAACCCCUCCACCUCUCCCUAUUUACAGAGUUUCCAUUUUUCCUUUUCUCAUAUUUAUUCCUUUCCCUUCUUUUCUUUCUCCUACCACUCUCACUUUCCCUUCUUCUUCCCCUUUGGACCUUUUCUUCCUAUACAUUUUGAUCCUCAUUUACACUUUCAGUUUCUCACAGCAGAGAAACUGUUCAGUAUUUACACAAGUAUGUUCCAUUUAUUUCUCUGAAGAGUAUGGCCUCAAUGUACCUCCAUUUAGUUAUAAAUGUCUUUAGGUUCUCAUUCUUUAUGGCUGAGAAGUACUACAUUUUAUCUUUAAAAACACAUCUUCUUUAUCAGUUCACCAAUUGAUGGGAAAUUGGGCUGUUUCCAAGUUUUAGCUAUUACAAACUGUGCUGCUAUAAACAUGAGUUUUACAUAUUGCUGAGGUAGGAUUCUUUUAAUUCUUUUGAGAACAUAUCCAGCAGUGGAAAAGCUAGGUCAAAUGGGACCUCUAAUUCUAGUUUCUUGAAGUAUCUCCAUACUGAUUUCCACAGUGGUGACACCAGUCUACACUCCCACCAGCAAUGGAGAAGGGUUCCUUAUUCCCCACAACUCUGCCAGCAUUUGUUAUUGGUUGAUUUCUUGAUAGCAGCCAUUCUUUCUGGAGUGAGGUGGAAUCUCAGUGUUGCUUUCAUCUGGAUCUCUCAAAUGACAAGUGAUGCUGAACAUUUUUUUCAUGUUUAUUGCUGUUUCUACUUGUUUGUUUGAGCAAUGGCUGUUCAUUUCAAAUGUCAUUUUGGAUAGGGUUUUUAAAUUAGGGAGGUCUGAUUUUUAAAAAUUCUUUAUAUACUCUACAUAGUAGACUUUUGUCUCAGGAACAGAUGGUAAAAUUUUUUUCUCACAUUGUGGAUUUUUUCUUCACUCUGUUGGUGGUUACUUUUGCUUUGCAGAACCUUUUCAAUUAGAUGAGAUCUCAGUUGUUCAUGUAACUGAGGUUUUCUUCAUGAAAUCUUUUCCUAUGCCAGUGUCUUCAAGAGUUCAACCUAACAACUGUCCCAGCUGGUUUAGGGUUUCUGCUUUAAUAUUUAGAUCUUUGAUCCAUUUAGAUUUUAGUUUAGUUCAUGGUGAGUGAUGGUUUAAUUUUAAUCUUUGGCAAGUUGAAACCCAAUUUUUCCAGCACCAUUUAUUAAAGAGGCUAUCUUUCCUCCAGAAGGGUGUUUGGCUUCCUUGUCAAGGAUAAAGUGGUUGAGUGUGUCAGGGGUUGUUUCUGCUUCUUCUAAUCAGUUUGACUGAUCCUUGGGUCUGUUUCUUAGCCAAUACCAUGCUGUUUUUCUCACAGUACCUUUGUAGUAUAGUUUCAAGUUGGAGAUUGUGAUACCCCUUACCUUGUCUUUGUUGCCUGGAAUUGCUUUUGCUAUUCUAGGUCUCUUCUUGUUGCAAAUGAAUUUUUGAUUGUUUUCUCAAGUUGUGUGAAAUAUGCUGUUGCAAUUACAAUUGGGAUUUCACUGAAUCUAUAUAGCAGUUUCGAAGUAUGGCCAUUUUCACUAUAUUGGUUCUUCCCACCCAGGAGCAAGGAAUAUUUUCCAUUUUCUGAUAUCUUCAUCAAUCACUUUUUUCAGAGUGCUAUAGUUUUCAGAGUAGAGAUAUUUGAUUUCUUUCAUUAGGUUGAUUCCUAAGCAUUUCAUUUUUUUGACUGCUAUUGUGAAGUGAGUUGUUUCUCCCGUUUCUCUAUCAGUUAGUCUGUUGUUCAUGUACAGGAAGGGUAUUGUUUUUGUGUGUUGGCCUCAUAUCCAGCUACUUUACUGAAUUUGGUUAUUAAGUCUGGAAGACCUGGUGGGGUUCUUGAGAUCUUCUAUAUAGAGUAUCACGUCAUCUGCAAAUAACGACAAUUUAAAUUUUUGUUUCCUAUCUUUAUUCCUUUUAUUUCUUUCUCUUUUCUAAUUGCUAUGGCUAAUGUUUCCAGAACUAUGUUGAACAGCAGUGGUGACAGUGGACAUCCUUGUCUUGUUCCUGAUUUUAGCAUGAAAGAUUUCAGUAUUUGACUAUUUAGUAUGAUGUUGGCUGUUGGUUUUUUAUAGAUGGCUUUUAUCAGGUUGAGAUUAAAAACCAUCUCUACCAAUUUUCUGUAGGGUUAUUAUCAUAAAUCGUUGUUGGAUUUUGUUGAACACUUUUUCUGCAUCUAUUGAGAUGAUCAUAUGGUUUUUCUCCUUGGCUCUAUUAAUAUAGUAUAUUACAUUUAUUGAUUUAUAUAUGUUGAAUCAUCCCUGCAUCCCUGGGAUGAAUUCCACUUGGUUAGCAUGUAUGAUCUUCUUGAUGAUCUUCUGAAUUUUAUUGACCAGUAUCUAAUUGAGGAUUUUUGUGUCUAUGUUCAUUAGUGACAUUGACCUAUAGUUCUCUUUUUCCAGUUGGGUGUUUCUCUGCUUUUGGGUUCAAGGUGAUGCUUACUUCUUGGAAUGAAUUGGGGAGUAUUGCUUCUCUUUCAGUGUUAUUGAUGAGUUUAAACAGUAGUGGCAAUAGCUUUUCUCUAAAUGUCUUGUAGAAUUCAGUAGUGAAUCCAUUAGAACCUGUGCCUUACUUCAGUCUUAAGUUUAUAACUACAGUUUUGAUUUCCUUGAUUGAUACUGGUUGUUUAGAAUUUUAGGUCUUCUUCUUUCAACUUUGGUAAUUCAUAUGUAUGUAGGAAUCUGUCCAUUUCUUCUGUGUUUUCCAUCUUAUUGGCAUAUAGGUUGUCAAUGUAGGUAUUGAUGAUCCUAUGGAUUUCUGCUGAGUCUGUUGUAAUUUCACCCUUUUCAUUCCUAAUUGCAUGGAUUUGGGCCUUGUCCAAACUUUUUUUUUUUUUUUUGGGUGCCAGAGAUCUAACUAGGGUCCUUGCUCUUGCGCAGCAGGUGGUGAAACCACUGAGCUAAAUCCCCAGCCCCUGGGCCUUGUCAUUCCUUGUUUUUGCAUAAGGUUGACUAAGUGUUUGUCAAUUUUGUUUAUUCUUUUGAAGAACAAACUCUUGGCUUCAUUGAUUUUUUGGUAAUGCUUUCUUAGUCUCCAUUGCAUUGAUUUCUGCUCUGAUCUUGACAAUUUUCUCUGUUGUAUGAGCUUUGGGUUUGUCUUGCUCUUCUUUUUCUAGAAGCUUGAGGUUCAGCAUCAGGUUCUAUAUUUGAGCUUGCUCUGUUUUCAUAAUAUGAGUAUACACUGCUAUGAAUUUCCCAUCAAGACUACUUUCAUUGUGUCCCAUAAAUUCAGAACUCAGAUAUGUUGUGUAGACAUUGUCAUUUAAUUGUAGAAACUAUCUAAUUUCUUCUUUAAUUUCCUCUGUGACCCAUUGGUUGCUCAGGAGUGUGUUUUUCAAUUUGUAUGUUUUUAUGAAGUUCUUGUGUUUUCUUUUGCUAUUGACCUCCAAUUUCAUCACAGUAUGAUCUGAUUAUAUACAGGGGAUAACUUCAAUUCCUUUGCAUUUACUUAAACAUGUUCUAUGAGCAAGUAAGUGGUUUAUUUUGGAAAGCAACCCAUGUAUACCUGAAAAGAAUGUGUAUUCUAGGGGCUGGGAAUUUAGCUCAGUGGUUCUGCCACCUGACCUGAGAAUGCAAGGACCUGAGUUCGAUCCCCGGUACCAAAAAAUAAAAAAAAAAAAAAAAAAAUGUGUAUUCUUAUUUUGUGGGCAGAACACUCUGUAAACAGUUGUUAAUUCCAUUUGUUCAAGAGUUUGGUUGAGUUCUAGUAUUUUUUUGUUUAUUUUUUGUCUAGUUGAUUUAUUUGUGACAGUGGAAUAUUGAGGUCCCCUACUACUAUAGUAUUGGUGCUUAUUUUAUUUUUCAUGUCUGUUAAUAUUUGUUUUAUAUAAUUUGGUGCACUAGUAUUUGGUGCAUAUGUAUUUAUGAUUGUCAUCUCUUCCUCUUGGAUUGUUCCCUUAACAAGGAUGUAUUGUCCUUCUUUGUCUUAAUUAGUGUUGGUUUGAAGUACAUUUGAUCUCCAAAAAGAAUAGCUACUCAUGCUUUUUGGGGGGGAGGGGGGUCUGGUCACAUAGAGUAUUUUUUUCCACCCUUUAACUUUCAGUCUAUGAGUUUUUUUGAAUUAAGUGUGUUUCUUGUAUGCAGCAUAUUGUUGGGUCUUGCUUCUUGACCCAUUCUGCCAUUCUAUUUCCUUUGAUUGGUGAAUUGAGACAAUUAACAUUGAUGGUUAUAACUGAUAUGUAUUGACUUAUCCUUGUCAUGACUUUUUCUUUUUUUUUUUUUUUUUUUUUGGUUUUUCUCAGUUUGCGUUUAAUUUCUUGUUUUGCAUGGAAGAUUCAUUCUGUUGGGGUUCAUGGAGUUGUGAUCCUCACUGUCUUUUCCUAGGCUAUUGUUUAGAAUUUUUUGCAGUGUUGGUUUUGUAUUCAUGAAUUUCCUCAGGUGUUCUUUGUCAUGAAAGUAUCUUAGUUCUCCAUUUAUUUUGAAAGAUAUUUUUGCAAGGUAUAUCAAUCUUGGUUGGAGGUUUUUUUCUCUUAGGGAUGGAAAUACUCUACUCCAGGCUCAGAAUUCUUGACUUGAGGGUUUGUAUUGAGAAGUCUGCUGUGAUUUUGAUGGGGUUUUUUUCCUAUGUUAUUUAUUUCUUUUCUCUGCUUGUAGUAUGUUAUUGUUUUGUUGGGUUUCUGGAAUCUUGACUAUUAUAUGCGUAGGUGUAGUUUUUCAUCAUGUCUAGUUGGAGUCCAAUAUGCCUCACUAAUCUGUAUGUCAAAUUCUUUUCUCCUGCUUGGCAAGUUUUCUGCCAUUACUUCUGUGAACAGUUUUUUUAAUGUCAUUUACAAUAUCUGCUGUUUCUUCAUUGACUCUGAUUCUGUCUUAUGUUAUUCUUCUUUGCAUCAUCUAGUAGCUGCUGGAUUUCUCAUCAUCCCUUGCUAUUUUCUUGAAAUCUUUCUUUUCCUGGUCACUUAUUGCAAUUCUGUCUUCCAUAAUCUGAUAUUCUGUCCUCACAUUGGCUCAUUGUGCUGUGUAAACUUUCAAUGAAGUUUUUGAUCUCCUGGUUAUCUAUUUGAAUCUGUUUUAUGGAUUCCAUUUCUUUUCUAUGCUGGAAUCCCAUCAUGUUCCUGAGUUCCUCUAUUUUUUUGUCUGUGUCUGUUUUAGAGUUAUUAAUCAUGUAUUUCACUAUGGACACCAUCUUUGUUGUCAUCUGAGAAAUUAUUUCUGAUUUUGAUUUUUCCAGAUAGUCUUUUGUUUCCAUUUCAGGGAGUCCAGAUGGUUGAGUUUCAGAUUGUUCCAUUUUGUUGCCCCUUGGAGUUGCCUUUGGUAAUCAGCAAGUCUUGUUUUGAGUCUUGUUUAGGUGUCUUCCCUUUUCUAAUUUUUUGCCCCUUUUAUUGAUGUUUUUGGUUUAAUUCCUGGAUUGCUGCUUGUGAAAUGCUUAUUCUGGGUAUCUUUAUUGCUAGUAUUUAGAACCCUCAGGGAAUGGCUACUUCUUAUCUUCCAAGUUUAGUUGGCCCCUGGGUUUUGAGUCUGUAAUGGCCCAUAGGUAAUCUCGAUCUUGUUAUACCAGGAAGGACAACUGACUGAAACAAUCACAUCACCAUGGCCAAAGUAAUACAAUCAACAUCUGCAAUAACAUCAAACACAGCCUAGAAAAUGACAAACUGUGAUAACUCUUAAUCUAUCACCUUUGACUGCAUCAACCAGACUUGUGGUUAUAUAUCAAAAUCUUGAUCCAAGCAGAAGUAUAUUUGCAGUAAAUAAGCUCUUCAAUACAGGGAAUUUUCCCUCUGGGGAGAUUUAGAAGGAGUUGGGGGAUAGAGAAAUAGAAGGAAAGGGAAAGUUUCAAAGUAACAUGAGAGGACACAGGAAGAUCAUGAAAACUUUGGGAAACUGAUGAAGACAGAAGGAAAAGUGAGAAGGAAGGAACAAAAACAAGAACAGAAUAAAAUGACAGCAACAGAAUAACCAGAAACUGUAUUCUCUCUCCUAUAAAAAUAAGAGCAAUCAAGAAAAAACAGGAAAUAAGUAAGAACAUGAAAAGUGAGGAAUGAAGAAGAAGGAGAAAAUAAGAAAAAAAAAAUCCCAUUCAAGGCAUGUCCCUGUGGUCCCUGGUGGACAAUGUGGGUAGCAUACAGAUCUGUGCCUACUGAUCUCAGUAAAUCAGCCAGAGUCCACUGAAGUUCAGGCUGAUUUCUGCCUGUGAAGCUGGAAUUGAGCUUCCUGACCUCUUUUGGAUUUGAACUCUGUGGAGUUCUACUGCAGGUUAAACCUGCCCUUCCUCUGCAACAAGUCUCGUUCCAGUAGGAGGUGUUGAUCCCAACAACUCACAUACCACUGCAGUCUGUUGCAAUUUUAUUGAGGUGCCUCUUUGCUUUCCCAGUGGGGUUCAACUCUCAACAAACCCCAGAGAGGCUUUCUUUCUAAUUCUCAUCACUGAGCCAAUUUCUGGGCUCAGAAUGAUGGCCUUCUGGAUCCUCCAGUUGCGCUGCUGUCCCAAGGGACCUCUGGCUGCAGCCUGCAUGCCCUUACUGAUGGUGUCCUGGUGGGACCCUGGCUGGGGCCUGAACACACUUAAAGUUCAUAUCUGGGUGAGGCUCUGGCUGAGGCCUGCAUGCUCUUGUCUUUUGAUUAUCUUGUCUUUUUCUUUAUAACCUGACUGAUAUUCAUCCUGCUAUGAAUACAAUUCUGUUCUUGCACUUGCAUUUUGGUAGUGGCUUGUGAUUGUUGUGACCAGUGUAAAAUGGCAGAGAUUAUAAUUCAUAUCAGGCUCAGUCAUAGAAUAUUUGCCCUUCCAACCUACGAUGCUAUAGGGAAACAAAAAAUAGUGCAGAAAAAGCAUUUUCACAAAUACUGGAAAUUAUAUGCCCAAUUGUGGCCUUUAUCAACUUCCAGAUAUAUAACAGAAUGAGUCUCAGAUAUUACCCCCUUACCUUUGAAUAUUCCAGUUAAAAUAGCAGACACAGUGGUUGAGGAACAGAAUGGCCUUACCAUGAACCAAUAAAUUGCAGUUCUUGAAAAGAGUUGCUGUCAAGAAAUCAGGUGUACUCUAUCCUUCAUAUAUUUCCAUUUUUUAUUAUGGUGCUUUUAAUUUUAGAUCCUUUUAUCUCAGACCUGUUAUCAAACUUCAAGUCCUAAAUUCUUAUCGGGUACCUCUGGUGAAACCUUCUUAUUCCAACAGAAAGAAGAAAAUUUAAAGAUAAGUUACCCUACUCUGAUUUACUACCCAGCAUUUUUACAGCAUUUAACACCUCCCUUUCCACCUACCAUUUACCCAAAGAGUCAAUAAAAUUGCCAAAGGCUUUUAUUUGGGAUUACCUCAAUAGUAAGAAGACCUCUACAUCUGUAAUGCACCACUGAUAUUUUUUUGGUGCUUGAGUACUUUCUCCAGUUUAGAAUUUUGUUAUAGCAUUGAAGCAUGGGAUAAAUAGCUUAAUCUCCCCCUUUUUCCAGCUUGGUGCUUUAGUUGCAUACUCUGUCAUUUAGCAACUCAGUGCUUGCUGGUUUACUCUCUCUCUCUUUCUUUCUUUCUCUCUCUCUAUCUUUUCUUCAAUCCAGAUGAGGUCAUUACAGAUUCUUAAAUUUAUGUAGUCUACUUGCAAAUUGUUAUGGCUUGUGUCUAGAUGUCCUCCAAAGUCUCAUGCAGUCAUAGAUGGAGAUUUUCAGAGGUUGCUGGAUCUAGAAUGUGUGAUGUUGGGAUUAAGUGUGUGAUGCUAGGAUUAAGUGUGUGAUGCUGGAAUUAAAGGUGUGUGAUUAUUAAAUUAGUCCACUGAUAGGUUUGGCAAUGUUUAGGGUCUGGAUAAUUAGAAGGCCCACCCUGGGUAUGGGCCUGGAAAAGACAAAAAGGAGAGGUUUCUGCCUUGAUGCUUGCUGCCAUCUGCCUGCCAUGAACUGUUUCUCCUCUAUAAUGCCCCUCUGGCCUGCCACCCUGCCUUGGAGCCAAAUGUGAACUGAAAUGUCUACAAACUGUUAGUUACAAUAAACCUUUUGUCCCUUAACUCUGGGUGUUGGAUAUUUUAUCUUAGCAAUGUGAAAAGUAACUAAACAGAUCUUGGUACCAGAAGUGGGGUAAUUGAGGUGACUAUAGCUGAACGUGUGGUUCAGGAGCUUUUGGAACUGGCUUGUGUAAAGUGUUUGGAGCGGUUUGGAGAUGCAAGCUGAAGAAGCAGCCCUGGAAUACUUAAACUGUACUUGAAGAGGGAUUCUCAUCAGAGCUCAAAAGACCAGAAUGGUGAUAGAAAAGCUGUCAGUGAAGACCAAGCUCGGGAGGUUUCUGCUUGGAACAAGGUCUGCAUUGGCUGUUGGACUCCAGAUGAUGUGUGUUAUUCCUUGGCAGAAAGUUUGUUUACAUUUUGCUCUUUUUUUUUUUUAACAAAAAGUGUAUUCAUUGUUUCACAUAACUGAAAAGUCCAGGGGAUAUACUAGCUUCAGGCACAGCUGGAUCCAAGGGCAAAAAUGCUGUCAUCAGGACUCGAGUCUCUGCAUCUUUUGAGUCUGGUUUCCUUUGUACUGUCUUCAUUCUCUGACUGGCUCAUUCAAUGCGGCAGACCCUGUUGGUUUGAAGUUUUUUAAAUCCUACAGACUUAAGCACCUCAGUAAAGAGAAUUUUUUCACCUCCAUAACUCAGUAAAAUUCAGAGGGAUGAGUUAUUACUGGACCAACUUGUGACUCACACAAACACUCCUGCAAGAAUUGGUAUGGUUAAGGAGAUGGACUUUGCUGAAUGAUGAGGUCUGAAUGGUAUAUCUACCCACAAAGCCCAAGGCUGGGUCAGCUGUCCAAGCCACAUCAACUGAAAAUAGGAAGUGAUGGUUUCAAGAAACAUCAGGGAAUUGUUACAAUGAAAUGGAAUGGAUGCUGGGCAAUCAAAAACAACUGAUGUUCAGAAUAAAUCAGACUGAAAAAUCUUAACUUCUGUUUAUAAAGGUGAAUGUAGUUACAGCUGGCUCCUCAGUAAUGGAAUUAUUCUAAAAAUAACCACUAGUGUAAGUUUGUCUUGUCCUCAGCAAGCCUAUAGUCCAUCUGAGUGGAAUAAUCAUAUCCAAUAGGAUACUUUGGAUGGUACUAUAGAAUUUCAAUGCAUGCAAUCUCAGUUUUAGGCUUUUUUCAGAGACCCAUCUUGGUGUCAGGAAGCAGGACAACUAGCCUCCACUGGCAAAUAGUUCUGUGAGGCUACUUGAGUCAGUGGAAAUUUAAGCUUAGUGGACAGCUCUUCUCAUAUUUAAGUCUUGCCAAGUUGAAAUAGUACAUUUCUGCGAGUACUGAUGAAUCAAUACUCAUUGUGUGUUACUGCAGAAGAGAGAAGUGGACUCUACUUUCAAUGUGCUGUACUCUUUCCAGAUGUGGUAGAAGAGGUCCCAGGUGCUGUAAAUGAGCAAGCAGAAAGUCUUACUCUUCACUUUAAAAAAAUUAAAAAAACUCUUGGUCAAGGAGUGUGCAUCUAAUACUUUCUGUUGUGAACAUUAAGUCCUGGUGGGGUGAGGUACAAGCUUUUUUCUAUUUAGAAGUCCUUGGUAGAAUUGGGCACAAGAUACGCUGAAAUUGGCUGUGGUCUUCUCAAGGUUAGCAGUUGAUUGCAGUAAUAAGACAGACAAGGCAGUUAAAAGCUAAGACAGAUAAGCUGACAAAGCAGGGUAACUUCAGCAGGGCCAGCUAAACUAAGAGCCAAGAUAUACCCUGGAAGGACAGGCAGAUUAAUAAAUGAAUUAGUUUUUUUUCCCAGGGUACUCAAGUUAUUGCAUAGGGCUUAUGCUAGAUACAAUUUUCUUAUCUCAAUCGAAGAGUCAGACAUAGUGGCUUUCUUUCCCUGCUCAUCUGCCCAAGAAGUGUCAGCUCAGGAGAAAUCCAUAUCCCUCGUCCAGACUUGAGGUUUUGUUUGGAAGUCUAUCCCACAUUUGGGAGCAAAUUGGUGGUAGAGAGAGUUUUGUUGAAGUUGGCCCUACUUUCUUUGGUUAUCAAGUCUUAAUCUUCUGUAACUUAGCACAUCUGAAAAUUCUUACAAGCCAGUCAAGGCUUCAGAUUGGCUGGAUGGCACAUUGAAGGACUUGGAUGAAAUCUGAGGCAUGGAGAGAGUAGGCAAGCUCCUAGGUUUAAAUUUUAGGCUUUUUCCAAUCACCAAUUUUUUAUGCACAAGUUAUAUAAGAUUUUUGAGCAGAUGAUGACCCUCAUCUUAACUGAGUACAAGAUCAGAGGGAAUGAUUGGCAGUGUAGGUCAAUGUGUUUUUUCUGCAAAGUAUAUACAGGAAAAAGCAGAGAGAAAAGAACAGCCAACAAUUUUAAGGAAGCAGAAAAAUGAACUUGUAGAUAAUUUCUUCUUUAUGCAUUAUAGUUCUAUGCUCAAGCAAAAUAGUCAUCCAGAUUUUAAUUUGCUAAGGGUGAGCAGUCAAUAGCAAUUGGACCUAAUCCUUGUUUGAUGAUAUGUAGACUAAAUUAUGUAAUCAGAUUAGUCUAGAGGAUGAGAAAGGAUAUAAAGAAACCAUUUCCAAAAUUUAACCAGUGCACUGAUAAGAGUAGCUGAAGAUGGCUGGCCCUUAAAUUAACUGUGAAGUAAAGGAAUGAGACUUUCUACAAAUUGGAGUAUCCCUAGAAUAUUUCUGACUGUAAGUCAGAAUUGAAUUCUUCCUACAGAAAAAAAUUGUCUUAAUACCUAAGAAUAUUUUAUAGCAAGAAAUGAAGUCAAACACAGUGUAAAUGACAAUAUUGAGACAUAUGUGAUUCCAUUCAAACAUCUACAAGGACAGCUCUUCAGUUUACUAGCAAAAUCUUUAGCUGCCAUCUUUAGAUUCAUUUUUAAAAGUUAGUUUAUAUUUCCAGCAAUACAUUUUCCUCUUGUUGAGAGACUGCCUAAGACUGAGAUUAAGGACAGUAGAAUAAUUAAUCUUGCUGAAGAAAUUUUAAGAGUGAAUUGGUGAGGCUGUGGCAUGGCUACUGUUGGGGACUUUUAGCCAAAUCCAUGUUGGGAAUCAAACAGAGUCUAGCAGAAUGAUUUAAAAUGUGAGUUUUGUCAGAAAAGAAACUCUGGUAAGGUUGCAGACUGCAAAUAUAAAGAACUUGGUUGCUGAGAAGGAACAGAACAAUAGAAAAGAUGGCCUGAGGACACCACAAGAACCAGCAGGACUCUAGCUUUUGCAGCCUCAAAUUGCAAAGGUGCUUUGAGAAGCAAAAAUUGCAAAUGC
rnacentral:lncRNA from 1 species